GCGGGUCGGGUGGGUAGUGGGCGUGGUUACAGGACAGGAAACAGCGAGUCUGGCCACGGCCUCCAACACCACAGAACACGCCUUAAGAGAGAAGAGAGGCAGCAACGGCGGCUUUGGCGGUGGUGGCACAGCUGGCGGGUAUAGUGACGGUGGCACCAGUGGUGGCACUACUGUAGUGUAUGGUGCCAGAAACGGUGGUGGCACAGCUGGCGGGUAUAGUGACGGUGGCACCAGUGGUGGCACUACUGUAGUGUAUGGUGCCAGAAACGGUGGUGGCACAGCUGGCGGGUAUAGUGACGGUGGCAGCAGUGGUGGCACUACUGUAGUGUAUGGUGCCAGAAACGGUGGUGGCACAGCUGGCGGGUAUAGUGACG